AGAGUUUGAUCAUGGCUCAGAUUGAACGCUGGCGGCAGGCCUAACACAUGCAAGUCGAGCGGAAACGAGUUAUCAGAACCUUCGGGGRACGAUAACGGCGUCGAGCGGCGGACGGGUGAGUAAUGCCUAGGAAAUUGCCCUGAUGUGGGGGAUAACCAUUGGAAACGAUGGCUAAUACCGCAUGAUGCCUACGGGCCAAAGAGGGGGACCUUCGGGCCUCUCGCGUCAGGAUAUGCCAGCUAGUUGGUGAGGUAAGGGCUCACCAAGGCGACGAUCCCUAGCUGGUCUGAGAGGAUGAUCAGCCACACUGGAACUGAGACACGGUCCAGACUCCUACGGGAGGCAGCAGUGGGGAAUAUUGCACAAUGGGCGCAAGCCUGAUGCAGCCAUGCCGCGUGUGUGAAGAAGGCCUUCGGGUUGUAAAGCACUUUCAGUCGUGAGGAAGGUAGUGUAGUUAAUAGCUGCAUUAUUUGACGUUAGCGACAGAAGAAGCACCGGCUAACUCCGUGCCAGCAGCCGCGGUAAUACGGAGGGUGCGAGCGUUAAUCGGAAUUACUGGGCGUAAAGCGCAUGCAGGUGGUUUGUUAAGUCAGAUGUGAAAGCCCGGGGCUCAACCUCGGAAUUGCAUUUGAAACUGGCAGACUAGAGUACUGUAGAGGGGGGUAGAAUUUCAGGUGUAGCGGUGAAAUGCGUAGAGAUCUGAAGGAAUACCGGUGGCGAAGGCGGCCCCCUGGACAGAUACUGACACUCAGAUGCGAAAGCGUGGGGAGCAAACAGGAUUAGAUACCCUGGUAGUCCACGCCGUAAACGAUGUCUACUUGGAGGUUGUGGCCUUGAGCCGUGGCUUUCGGAGCUAACGCGUUAAGUAGACCGCCUGGGGAGUACGGUCGCAAGAUUAAAACUCAAAUGAAUUGACGGGGGCCCGCACAAGCGGUGGAGCAUGUGGUUUAAUUCGAUGCAACGCGAAGAACCUUACCUACUCUUGACAUCCAGAGAACUUUCCAGAGAUGGAUUGGUGCCUUCGGGAACUCUGAGACAGGUGCUGCAUGGCUGUCGUCAGCUCGUGUUGUGAAAUGUUGGGUUAAGUCCCGCAACGAGCGCAACCCUUAUCCUUGUUUGCCAGCGAGUAAUGUCGGGAACUCCAGGGAGACUGCCGGUGAUAAACCGGAGGAAGGUGGGGACGACGUCAAGUCAUCAUGGCCCUUACGAGUAGGGCUACACACGUGCUACAAUGGCGCAUACAGAGGGCAGCCAACUUGCGAAAGUGAGCGAAUCCCAAAAAGUGCGUCGUAGUCCGGAUUGGAGUCUGCAACUCGACUCCAUGAAGUCGGAAUCGCUAGUAAUCGUGGAUCAGAAUGCCACGGUGAAUACGUUCCCGGGCCUUGUACACACCGCCCGUCACACCAUGGGAGUGGGCUGCAAAAGAAGUAGGUAGUUUAACCUUCGGGGGGACGCUUACCACUUUGUGGUUCAUGACUGGGGUGAAGUCGUAACAAGGUAGCGCUAGGGGAACCUGGCGCUG
rnacentral:rRNA from 1 species